rnacentral:rRNA from 1 species
AGAGUUUGAUCCUGGCUCAGGAUGAACGCUAGCGGCAGGCUUAACACAUGCAAGUCGAGGGGCAGCAUGUCCAGCAAUGGAUGAUGGCGACCGGCGGAAGGGUGCGUAACGCGUGAGCAACAUGCCCUAUACAGGGAGAUACACCAGGGAAACUUGGUCUAAUAUCCCAUAGCAUUCAUUGAAGGCAUCUUUAAUGAAUUAAAGCUUCGGUGGUAUAGGAUUGGCUCGCGUGACAUUAGCCAGAUGGUGAGGUAACGGCUCACCAUAGCAAUGAUGUCUAGGGGUUUUGAGAGGAAGGCCCCCCACACUGGGACUGAGACACGGCCCAGACUCCUACGGGAGGCAGCAGUGAGGAAUAUUGGACAAUGGAUGGAAAUCUGAUCCAGCCAUGCCGCGUGCAGGAAGACGGCCUUAUGGGUUGUAAACUGCUUUUAUACGGGAGCAAUAAGGGUUACGAGUAAUCCGAUGAGAGUACUGUAUGAAUAAGGAUCGGCUAACUCCGUGCCAGCAGCCGCGGUAACACGGAGGAUCCGAGCGUUAUCCGGAUUUAUUGGGUUUAAAGGGUACGCAGGCGGUCCUUUAAGUCAGAUGUGAAAUCUUACGGCUCAACCGUAAUUAGCAUUUGAAACUGGAGGACUUGAGUUAAGGAGAGGAAAGUGGAAUUCCUAGUGUAGCGGUGAAAUGCGUAGAUAUUAGGAGGAAUACCAGUGGCGAAGGCGACUUUCUGGACUUAUACUGACGCUGAGGUACGAAAGCGUGGGGAGCAAACAGGAUUAGAUACCCUGGUAGUCCACGCUGUAAACGAUGAGUGCUAGGUGUCGGGGGUCAAACCUCGGUGCCGGAGUUAACGCAUUAAGCACUCCGCCUGGGGAGUACGUACGCAAGUAUGAAACUCAAAGGAAUUGACGGGGACCCGCACAAGCAGCGGAGCAUGUGGUUUAAUUCGAAGCAACGCGAAGAACCUUACCAGGUCUUGACAUGCCAUUGACCGUCUUAGAGAUAAGAUUUUCCCUUCGGGGACAAUGGACACAGGUGGUGCAUGGUUGUCGUCAGCUCGUGUCGUGAGAUGUUGGGUUAAGUCCCGUAACGAGCGCAACCCCUAUUUUUAGUUGCUAGCAGGUUAAGCUGAGCACUCUAAAGAGACUGCCGAUGAUAAAUCGGAGGAAGGUGGGGAUGACGUCAAAUCAUCAUGCCCUUUAUGACCUGGGCUACACACGUGCUACAAUGGUCGGUACAACGAGCAGCUACCUAGUGAUAGGAUGCUAAUCUCUUAAAGCCGAUCCCAGUUCGGAUUGUAGGCUGCAAUUCGCCUACAUGAAGUCGGAGUUGCUAGUAAUCGCGGAUCAGAAUGCCGCGGUGAAUGCGUUCCCGGGUCUUGUACACACCGCCCGUCAAG